UACGUAGGGUGCGAGCGUUGUCCGGAAUUAUUGGGCGUAAAGAGCUCGUAGGCGGUCUGUCGCGUCGAUCGUGAAAACUUGGGGCUUAACCCUGAGCUUGCGGUCGAUACGGGCAUGACUGGAGUUCGGCAGGGGAGACUGGAAUUCCAGGUGUAGCGGUGAAAUGCGUAGAUAUCUGGAGGAAUACCGGUGGCGAAGGCGGCAUCCUGGACCGGCAUUGACGCUGAGUGAGCGAAAGCUAGGGGAGCAAACGGG
rnacentral:rRNA from 1 species